CUCUUUUUGUGUGUGGCAGCGAAGAGAGCUCUUCUCCCGCGGUGGUGGUGGGAUCUCCCGGCGAGGCCCUGGGUUCCCCCGUUCGGCGGCGGCGAAAUCCGUGAAGGCCACCGAGCGAGGAACCGAGAGGAUUCCGCUCGCUCUCGUCCUUGUGUUCCGUCGCUCUCUGCAAGUGAAAAUCAUGGGUUUGCAAGGAUGCCGAGGAGCUGGAUUCCUCCAUGCCGGAGCUUCUAGGGAGCGACCACUGUUUCGAGGUGACGGUAGGAGGCUGCUGGCUGCGUCGCCGGCGUGACUGUGUUGGUGCAUACCUGUGUGAAGAUUCAUCUUGAAAAUCGAGUGUUGCUGGAAAGCUUUGUGAGUAUAUCCCUGAAUCAAUCUGCAGUACAAUAUUUGCAAUUUCAGUUAGCGAAGAAUCAUAGCAUGGUAGAAGUGUUACAACAUAAGACAAUUGCGAUUGAAGCAACAAUGAGUGACUGUCUAUACACAUCGUAGAUACAUCCCCAGAGAUGGGAGCCUCCGUCUCUCAUUUCUCAUUAUUCUCAUUUUAUCUCUUUUCAUUGUUUAGCUUAGUGUUAUCAUUUUUAUCUCAGUGUAUCAUUGUUUAUCAUUUACCUCAGUUUCUCUCUAAUUAUAGUAUUCAUUCUGUAUUUCUUCAUUACUACUUUAUUUUCUUCAUUUGUUCAUUUUAGUCUCUUAUUCUCUUAUUCUCUCAGUUUUUCAUUUUAUCUCAUUUUGUCUCUGUCACCUAGUCCUAUAAUUUAUCUCAUUUUGUCUCUUUGUUGUUCUUUUCUCCUCAGUUUUCAGACAUCUUUGCUCAGUCCCUCCUUCUCUCAGUCUCUUCUCACUUUUAUUUAUUCAGUCUUUCCUUCUCCAGUGUUUCGGUUUAAUUUGCUAAUUUUAAUUUAUUUACUCAUUCUUUAUUUCAGCCUCUUCUCAUAUUUAUUUGCUCAGUCUUUUAUUCCUUGGUCUCUCUGUCUUAUUCUCUCAGUGCUCAUUUUUUUCAUUUUCAUUCCUCCGAUUUCCUCAGUUAUUAUGAAAAUUCUAUGAAUUUUAUGAUUUUUCAGUCUUGCAUUCUUACCUGUAUCUUAUAUCCACCAUCAAAUAAUUCUAUGAAAAUUCUGCUAAUUAAGAUUUAUUCGCUCAGUCAUUCAGUCAUCAUUUUUAGUUCUUCCUCCUUUUUUCAUUUUCAUUCCUCCGAUUUCCUCAGUUAAUAUGAAAAUUCUAUGAAUUUUCUGAUUUUUCAAUCUUGCAUUCUUACCUGUGUCCUAACAUGGGGAAUUCUACCUACAUGAUUCUUUAAGCUAUACUUAAGUUGGGUGGAUGCGGACUCUCUCUCAGGUAUAUAGAUGUUGAACGCCAUAUUUAGUCCCACUUGUCUCUGUUAGGCCAAGUUGUUGUUUGUCAGUAUUCAACCAUUCAGUCUGGUGCUCCAAUAAUCAAGUAUCUCAAUGUGGUGGAAAUUGUUAAUAAUAUACAGCAUCAUGCUACAAAUGAAUUGUUCUCAACCACCUGUAAUUUCUUAUCAUUUAUUGCUGAUCUCAUUCAGUUUUAAUUUCUCCAGUCAAUUUGUAGUACCUCAUUAGUUCGUUUCUCGGUAUAUUAUUGCCUCAGUUGUUUUCUUAAGUCUAUCAAUGAUGAUUCAUCAAGCAUUGAAAAAUGUUUGAUAAUUUCAUUUUUGUUUUGUAUCUUGAAUCUUAAGUUACCCGUUGAUAAAAUCAGACAAUGUUGGCUGCUUAAACGAUGAUGAACAACAUCGCUGAUGGUGAGAAUGCUAGCUGCUAAAUCAUUUUCUUUGUUUUCAUUUUAUGUUCUGAUUAUCUUCGAUGUUUCUUUCUCCAUCCUCGUAGUAUUCAACAUCUCUUCAAUUUAGUGUACGCGGUAGAUUUUGAUGGUGGAUACAAGUACACUUUUGCCAUAGACCAGAGGAGGAGAUCAAAGAGUGGAUGCUUGUUCGGUUCUACAUGGAACAUCAAGGCUGCUUUUGCGUGGGGAGGAAGAAGGAGGAGAUGGUGACGUGGAGGCAACUGGUGGACCAAGCCACCAAGCCAAUAGAAAUAGAAGGCCUAGUUUCCUGUUUUUUGUGAAAGCCUCAACAAAGGUUGAUGUAUGAAUAAUAGGCUACUCCUUUUCCAGUUAUUAUGUACAAGAGCCCAGUUUUAAAAAGGCAGAUGUAUAAACGAUGGGCUAAUGAAAAAAAAAAACCAGGAAAAAACAGGCUGGCUGGAUUGAUCGAAAUGAAUUUGUUUGUGUUUUUGGUUU